rnacentral:tRNA from 1 species
CGUGGCCCAGAGGCUAAAACACCAGGCUAAUAACCUGGGGGGCGUGGGUACAAGCCCGG